GAUGAACGCUGGCGGCGUGCCUAAUACAUGCAAGUCGAGCGAACAGACGAGGAGCUUGCUCCUCUGACGUUAGCGGCGGACGGGUGAGUAACACGUGGAUAACCUACCUAUAAGACUGGGAUAACUUCGGGAAACCAGAGCUAAUACCGGAUAAUAUAUUGAACCGCAUGGUUCAAUAGUGAAAGACGGUUUUGCUGUCACUUAUAGAUGGAUCCGCGCCGCAUUAGCUAGUUGGUAAGGUAACGGCUUACCAAGGCAACGAUGCGUAGCCGACCUGAGAGGGUGAUCGGCCACACUGGAACUGAGACACGGUCCAGACUCCUACGGGAGGCAGCAGUAGGGAAUCUUCCGCAAUGGGCGAAAGCCUGACGGAGCAACGCCGCGUGAGUGAUGAAGGUCUUCGGAUCUUAAAACUCUGUUAUUAGGGAAGAACAAAUGUGUAAGUAACUAUGCACGUCUUGACGGUACCUAAUCAGAAAGCCACGGCUAACUACGUG
rnacentral:rRNA from 1 species